CGCGGGAUUCUGUAGGUGGUCCGCGACUACUAUAUUGAGCUCCUUGGAAAGGGCAGCCCCCAAUGUAGCGAGGAGGGAACCUCCCACGGGAGAAGGGUGGAUGACUUCUUGUGCGAGCUCACGCUCCCUGAGCAUAGCGACCUCUCUUUUGACGAGUUGGUCAGCGAGAUCACCAUAGAAGAGGUCACAGAGAGUAUCCAACAGCAGAACAAGUGUAAGUCGCCAGGUCCUA